GGUGAAGCUGCAAAGUAAUCAAUGCACUUGUUCAAAAUGGUUAAUGCAAUCAAUUCCUUUUUGGCAGCAGUGAAUGUCAUUUAGGCACCUACAAUUUCAUUUUCAAAUACAUCCCAUCUUUCCUGGACUCUUCCAGAAUUUUUUGAUUGCUUCUCUACAACAGAUCUUGACUGAGGAACCUCACAACAGGCUUGGACAGAGAAGAGAGAAACAGCCUACACCUGAUCUGGUGAUGAUACCGCACAACAGUUGUUUUUAUGUCUUGACUGUAACCCCUCUGAGUUCCCCUCGGACCUCGAAGCUCUGACAGUAACAUGGCACCUAGAAGCCCAAUGGUCACCAAGGCACAAUACGGACUGGAGUCAAAGGCUGCAAAAGAAGGUCAAAGAAUCAUGGGCUCCCCAAUGUUCUCAUCACACCAUGGAAAGAGCACAAAGAAAUCAUACUGGAGUGACUAUGGGGAAGAAAAA